CCUACGGGAGGCAGCAGUGGGGAAUUUUGGACAAUGGGCGCAAGCCUGAUCCAGCCAUGCCGCGUGAGUGAAGAAGGCCUUCGGGUUGUAAAGCUCUUUCGGCCGGGAAGAAAUCGCAUUGGUUAAUACCUGGUGUGGAUGACGGUACCGGAAUAAGAAGCACCGGCUAACUACGUGCCAGCAGCCGCGGUAAUACGUAGGGUGCGAGCGUUAAUCGGAAUUACUGGGCGUAAAGCGUGCGCAGGCGGUUUUGUAAGACAGGCGUGAAAUCCCCGGGCUCAACCUGGGAACUGCGCUUGUGACUGCAAGGCUAGAGUACGGCAGAGGGGGGUGGAAUUCCACGUGUAGCAGUGAAAUGCGUAGAGAUGUGGAGGAACACCAAUGGCGAAGGCAGCCCCCUGGGUCGAUACUGACGCUCAUGCACGAAAGCGUGGGUAGCAAACAGGAUUAGAUACCCUGGUAGUCCACGCCCUAAACGAUGUCAACUAGGUGUUGGGAGGGUAAAACCUUUUAGUACCGGAGCUAACGCGUGAAGUUGACCGCCUGGGGAGUACGGCCGCAAGGUUAAAACUCAAAGGAAUUGACGGGGACCCGCACAAGCGGUGGAUGAUGUGGAUUAAUUCGAUGCAACGCGAAAAACCUUACCUACCCUUGACAUGUCAGGAAAUCUUGAGAGAUUGAGAUGUGCCCGAAAGGGAACCUGAACACAGGUGCUGCAUGGCUGUCGUCAGCUCGUGUCGUGAGAUGUUGGGUUAAGUCCCGCAACGAGCGCAACCCUUGUCGUUAAUUGCCAUCAUUUAGUUGGGCACUUUAGCGAGACUGCCGGUGACAAACCGGAGGAAGGUGGGGAUGACGUCAAGUCCUCAUGGCCCUUAUGGGUAGGGCUUCACACGUCAUACAAUGGUCGGUACAAAGGGUCGCCAACCCGCGAGGGGGAGCCAAUCCCAGAAAGCCGAUCGUAGUCCGGAUUGCAGGCUGCAACUCGCCUGCAUGAAGUCGGAAUCGCUAGUAAUCGUGGAUCAGCAUGUCACGGUGAAUACGUUCCCGGGCCUUGUACACACCGCC
rnacentral:rRNA from 1 species